rnacentral:rRNA from 1 species
UACGGAGGGUGCGAGCGUUAUUCGGAAUUACUGGGCGUAAAGCGCGCGUAGGCGGUCAGGCAAGUCAGGUGUGAAAGCCCUGGGCUCAACCCGGGAAUUGCGCUUGAUACUAUUUGGCUUGAAUUCGGGAGAGGUUGGUGGAAUUCCCAGUGUAGAGGUGAAAUUCGUAGAGAUUGGGAAGAACACCCGUGGCGGAGGCGGCCAACUGGACCGACAUUGACGCUGAGGCGCGAAAGCGUGGGGAGCAAACAGG